ACAGACAGGAUUACUACAGGGUCCAGGCCACUCCAGGACAGAGAGGAUUACUACAGGGUCCAGGCCCCUCCAGGACAGAGAGGAUUACUACAGGGUCCAGACCACUCCUGGACAGACAGGAUUACUACAGGGGUCCAGGCCCCUCCAGGACAGACAGGAUUACUACAGAGGUCCAGGCCCCUCCAGGACAGAUAGGAUUACUACAGGGUCCAGGCCCCUCCAGGACAGAUAGGAUUACUACAGGGUCCAGGCCCCUCUAGGACAGAGAGGGUUACUACAGGGUCCAGGCCCCUCUAGGACAGACAGACA
rnacentral:lncRNA from 1 species